ACGAACGCUGGCGGCGUGCCUAACACAUGCAAGUCGAGCGCGAAUGGAGCAAUCCUAGUAGCGCGGCGCACGGGUGCGUAACACGUGGGUAAUCUGCCUGGGAGACCGGAAUAACCUGCCGAAAGGCUGGCUAAUACCGGAUAAGCCCACGGACUCUUCGGAGUCUGAGGGAAAAGGUGGCCUCUGUAUACAAGCUAUCACUUCCAGAUGAGCCCGCGGCCA
rnacentral:rRNA from 1 species